UGUGGAUCUGGGCUUGGUUCGGUGUGCGCCAUUUGUCAGAGGCGCGUGCCUGGGCAAGGAGCACUUUCUCCCACUCAGCCUGAGGCCAACUCCUGCGCUGCCUACAGGUCCCAGCUCAGAUGGCCCCUCCCCUGGUGAGCCCUACCUGUCUCCUAGGCUGGAUUCUCCCAUGACUCUGCUCAUGAGCCCAGCCUCACCCAGGACAGAGAAGCACUGAAAGAGGAUUUGAUGCAUACGCAAGAAUCAGCGCUGCAAUCAGGAUGAAUCUCAAAUUCAAGAUGCUGAGCAAGAGAAACUGAACGUGAAAGACCAUAGAACAUCUGAUUCUAUUUCCAUGAACAUUCCAGAAAAGAGACCUUGGAAUGUCCAAGACUGGCACCAGCUGGCUUCAACUGGGAGAACUGGUUUCCAGGAUUUGAAACCAGAGAGUCGGGUGUCCUCCGGCAGCUCGCUUUCAGACGUGAAGUCAAGGACAGACUGAAGUGUCACAUGAAGUGUCACAUGAAGUGGGGGACAGAG